GAAAUGCGAUAAGUAGUGUGAAUUGCAGAAUUCAGUGAAUCAUCGAAUCUUUGAACGCACAUUGCGCCCUUUGGUAUUCCUUAGGGCAUGCCUGUUCGAGCGUCAUCUAAACCUUCAAGCCCUGCUUGGUGUUGGGUGCCUGUCCCGCCUCCGCGCGCGGACUCACCUCAAAUCCAUUGGCGGCCCCCGCGUCGGCCACGAGCGCAGCAGAAACGCGAACUCGUGAGCCCGUCCGGGCGGCUCCCAGAAGCUACACCCACCCAGUUUGACCUCGGAUCAGGUAGGGAUACCCGCUGAACUGAAG
rnacentral:misc_RNA from 1 species